rnacentral:rRNA from 1 species
AUUGAACGCUGGCGGCAGGCCUAACACAUGCAAGUCGAACGAGUGGCGGACGGGUGAGUAAUGUCUGGGAAACUGCCUGAUGUAGGGGGCUAACUACUGGAAACGGUAGCUAAUACCGCAUACCAUCGGAUGUGCCCAGAUGGGAUUAGCUAGUUGGUGGGGUAAAGGCUCACCUAGGCGACGAUCCCUAGCUGGGCUGAGAGGAUGACCCGCCACACUGGAACUGAGAAACGGUCCAGACUCCUACGGGAGGCAGCAGUGGGGAAUAUUGGACAAUGGGCGAAAGCCGGAUGCAGCCAUGCCGCGUGGAUGAAGAAGGCCUUCGGGUUGUAAAGCACUUUCAGCGGGGAGGCGGUACCCGCAGAAGAAGCACCGGCUAACUCCGUGCCAGCAGCCGCGGUAAUAC